rnacentral:lncRNA from 1 species
AAAAGAAAGCAAGCUGGGGAGGAAAGGGUUUAUUCAGCUUACACUUCCUCAUCGCUGUUAACCACCAGAAGAAGUCAGGACUGGAACUCACACAGGCAGGAAGCAGGAGCUGAUGCAGAGGCCAUGGAGAGAUGUCACUUACUGGCUUGCUUCUCAUGGCUUGCUCGGCCUGCUUUGUUAUAGAACUCAGAACUGCCAGCCCAGGGGUGGCCCCACCCACCGUGGGCUGGGCCCUCCCUAUCAGCCACUAAAUAAAAAACAUGCCUUACAGCUGGAUCUUAAGGAGGCAUCUCCUCAGUUGAAGUUCCUUCCUUUCAGAUGACUCUAGUUUAUGUCAAGUUGACAUAACACUGUUCAGUACAUGUAAGCUCCUCAAAAGACAUGAGUUAAAAAGGAUGUGGGGUUUAUGAACAUGUUUUUAAAAAGUAAGAGGACAUUUAGAACAGCUGGUGCUGGAGGGAGCCCCGUGGUUCGGAGUUCAUGCUGCUCUUACAUAGGACAGUUCGGUCCCCAGCAUCCACAUAGUUCAUGACUGCCUGUAACUCCAGCUCGUCUGGCACUCUGUUUUGGACUCUAUGGGCACCUGCACAAAUACACAUGACUACACCUAAACAUAAUUAAAAAUAAUAAAAAUUGGGGCUGGAAAAAUGGCUCCUUGAUUAAGAGCACUGACUGCCCUUCCAGAGGACCAGGUUCUGUACCCAGCACCCACAUGGUGGCUCACCACGGUCUGUGACCCUAAGAUCUGACAUCCUCACCCAGACAUGCGUGCAGGCAAAACACCAGUGCACAGAAAGUAAGAGGUAACAAUGAACAACAAUAAACAAAAAAAUAAUAAAAAACCUAGAACAUUAUACUAGCGUAUUAGAGAGUUUUGAUUAAAAAAUAAACAAAAGAA